UCCUGUGAAAAGAAAACAAAACAUGCGGAAAGUCUUGUUCUCGGGGCAGGAUGUCGUCCCCUACAUCUCGCACGCCACAUGCCCUCCAAGAACUCUUUCACUGCCUCAAUCACUCGUCCACUCGUCUCUCCGCUGAGCCCCAGCAGCAGCACCGGCUCAGGCCCAAAGAAGAAGAAGAAGAGUAGAUUCAACGGAGCUGCCUGCGUAGCGACAUAAGCAUUACUUUUUCUCGUGUUUACCUUCAAACUACAAUGAAGAGAAGUUCCGCAGCCUUUAAGAAGAAGGUGAAGGGCACAGGGACGGCCAGGGAAAGUAAGGAAAGCUGCAGAGAAGCCUUCACAUGACGAAAGUGCCUCCACCACCACCACUACCACCAGAUCACCACACUAAGUUAAUCUUCUCCGUGGCCUCAGGAAGUGGUGGCAGCGUCAGCCUGAGACGAUUAGUACUGCAGCACGCGUACGUCCGGCUUCCCAAACCUCCGAGGGAGCUGCUCGUGCAACACACUGAGACUCGUCUGGAGCCCAGGAAGAAGCUUGUGUCUGAGUACGAGGCGCUGAUGGAAGCGGCGGCGCUGUCAGCCAGUCCAGCUGGCCACCUCUCCGGGCCCAUAGUCGUGGGGGGCAUCUUGGCGGAGGGGACUGUAAGGGUUCAUGGAGCUCCUGGCUCAAAUUACAAGCAAAAGUACUUGAAGGGCGGGAACUUGAGGCUGCUGAGUACCCCCUUGGCCGAGGGAGGGGACCAGGCCUUCCUCACACUUAGCUUUACUCAGGUCAACCGCAAGAGUCUGGACUUCCAGAUCAAGUACGGGUCCAGCCUGCAGCACCUCCACGGGGUAGUGAGCCAGCUAAAGGCCCACCUGGAGCAGUCUGGCAGCCUCAGCGCCCUGCCGGCCCUCGUGGAGUGAUUGUCCUGCUGUUUGGGUGACUUAGGAGGCUGGACAAGGGAAAGGGAAGGCAUGGUUAGGGUAGUGAUUGUCCUGCUGUUUGGGUGACUUAGGAGGCUGGACAAGGAAACUUUAGGCAUGGUUAGGGUAGUGAUUGUCCUGCUGUUUGGGUGACUUAGGAGGCUGGACAAGGGAAAGGGAAGGCAUGGUUAGGGUAGUGAUUGUCCUGCUGUUUGGGUGACUUAGGAGGCUGGACAAGGGAAAAGAAUGCAAUCAAAUGGUCACAACUUUUUAACCCUUUAAAUUGGGCACAGGCAGAGACUGACGCUGGGUGUGGGUGGAGCAGCUGGAUACAUGGACCUUGCUGGGUGUGUGAGUGCCUCCCAAAGAAGAGUUCCCAGCGCCACGGCUCCCAAGACCUCUGCCAAGCUGGGCAAUGUCAGUCUGGUCAUUGGACACAAGUCGCGGCAGGUGGCAAAAGUGGACGUGGCUGUGCCCCAUCAGGACGUCAUUGUCUCCAGUCAUGCGGUCCAGCGAGUCACUGCUCUACCGCACGGCACUGACCCCAAGGACGUCCCGAUCCACAGCAGGGACGUGGCCACCCCUGCCAAGUCCCUGGACACAGCCCCAAGUGUUCCCUGGUGGGCCAUACUCGCUGGGCUCCUCCUCCUCCUCCUCCUCCUCACCCUGCUGCCGUGGAAGGUGUCGGGUUCCUGCACAGGUGAACCAAGAUGGAGUCAUGGCUUUGGGGCGGCUUGCUAAACAGGUCAGAUGAGCCACAACGUGCGCAGGUCACAACAGGUCACCACAUGCAGGUCGGAGGUCACACAGCCACCGUCCAUGGCCUGACCCCUAAGAGUGGAUACCAGCUGUCUGGAGUGGACACAGAAGUGGAUUCCUUACAGCAUCGGGACUCCUGUCAAGAUCUCGGUCACCCUCGGAGUCUCGUCACUGGCAACUUCCCGAGGAGCUGCGUCUGUGCGUCACACUCCACCUCCAAGCUAACCCAGGACUGUCCCAGGCUGAGCUGCAUGACAUAACCUAUACUAAGAUCGAACCCGCCUGCAACCUCAAGAUCAAGUACGGGUCACCCAAGCCUAGGAGACAGAGUAGCCCUCGCCAAUCUAAGAGGUGGGUGAUUGCGGCUGAUUGGGGUCUGAAGAGGCUGUUUUUAGGGGCGAGAGGGCAGGGAUAAGACUGUAAGGUUACUAUCAGUGCUGAGAGACAAAAAAUGUGAAGGGUAAUUUUUGGGGCUGAUUUCGGUGCCUGAGGGGGCUGAAAGGAGUAGAGGGGAAGGAAAGGGGCUGAGAAGGAGUCGUCAGGUCGCUAUGGGUUUAAGAACGGGCUGGUUUGGGGCUUUUUAGGGGGCUGAUUUCGGGCUGCGAGUGUAAGGCCGCGGGCACACAGAAAGUGAGAAAGCUAGCGAGAGCUGCAAGGCGAGUUUCUGUGGCCAUACUCACUCUGGAAUAGCUUAAGUUAGGUUAGCAUUUUUUUUUUUAAUUAUUAUUUUGGUGUAAUGUCUCUCAUGCAUCUUCCUUUUCUCUCUCUCUCUCUCUCUCUCUCUCUCUCUCUCUCUUUUACAUCUAAGGAUGCGGCUCAAGGGCAACAAAAAGAUUACAAAAAAGCCCGCUACUCGCCGCUUCCACAAAAGUAAAAAGUACAGGGUAGCCAAAAGAGAGGUCAAUGUCGAGUGGAAAGGUGUCUUGAUACACUUCUUGAAAGAGGUCAAGUCCUAGGCAGGAGGAAAUACAGAAGAAGGAAGGCUAUUCCAGAGUUUACCAGUGAAGGGGGAUGAAAGAAUGGAGAUGCUGGUUAACUCUUGCAUAAGGGGACUCGUUAUCUACUUCUUCCAUUUUAUUUCACAAUUCGUACAUUAGUAUUAGUAUUAGGCAUUUACCUAGUGUACCUAGUUGUGAAAUACAGGAAAAGAGCCGUAUUAGGCUCGUGCUGUCCCGUCUCUAUAACGCUUAUUAUCCAGUUUGGCUUUAAAUUCAUGAAUCGUUUUUGCACGCACAGUCUCCUCGUCGAGUCCGUUCCAUGUUGUUGUGCUUCUGUAUGGAAAACUGUAUUUAUUGACGUCUCUCCUACAGUCGCUCUUCUUCAAUUUCUUACUAUUCCCUCUUGUCACACUUCUGUCACAUACCACUAAAUCUUCCGUCCAAUUUCUCCAAUCCCUCUUGUAUCCUGUAUUAGUUCCCCUCUCUCCUUCUCUCCAGUGUUGUAAGUCCCAAUUUCUCCAGUCUUUCUUCAUAACCCCCCGGUCCCACAGAGC